rnacentral:rRNA from 1 species
AGUGAACGCUGGCGGUAGGCCUAACACAUGCAAGUCGAACGGCAGCACAGUAAGAGCUUGCUCUUACGGGUGGCGAGUGGCGGACGGGUGAGGAAUACAUCGGAAUCUACUUUUUCGUGGGGGAUAACGUAGGGAAACUUACGCUAAUACCGCAUACGACCUACGGGUGAAAGCAGGGGAUAUUCGGAACUUGCGCGAUUGAAGGAGCCGAUGUCGGAUUAGAUAGUUGGCGGGGUAAAGGCCUACCAAGGCGACGAUCCGUAGCUGGUCUGAGAGGAUGAGCAGCCACACUGGGACUGAGACACGGCCCAGACUCCUACGGGAGGCAGCAGUGGCGAAUAUUGGACAACGGGCGAAAGCCUGAUCCAGCAAUGCCGCGUGAGUGAUGAUGGUGUUAGGGUUGUACAGCUCUUUUACCCCGGAUGAUAAUGACAGUACCCGGAGAAUAAGCUCCGGCUAACUUCGUG